ACGAACGCUGGCGGCUGCUUAACACAUGCAAGUCGAACGGAGUGGCGAACGGGUGAGUAACGCGUGAGCAACCUGCCUAUGACAGUGGGAUAGCCUCGGGAAACCGGGAUUAAUACCGCAUAGUCAUAGAUGGGCUCGCGUCUGAUUAGCUAGUUGGUGAGAUAACAGCCCGCCAAGGCGACGAUCAGUAGCCGGUCGUGGAUGAGGAACGGCCACAUUGGAACUUGGUCACGGUCCAAACUCCUCCGGGAGGCAGCAGUGGGGAAUAUUGCACAAUGGGUGAAACCCUGAUGCAGCGACGCCGCGUGAACGAAGAAGGUAUUCGUAUCGUAAAGUUCUGUCCUAUGGGAAGCAGGACCAUAGAAGAAAGCUCCGGCUAAAUACGUGCCAGCAGCCGCGGUAAUAC
rnacentral:rRNA from 1 species